UGGGGAAUUUUGGACAAUGGGCGAAAGCCUGAUCCAGCAAUGCCGCGUGUGUGAAGAAGGCCUUCGGGUUGUAAAGCACUUUUGUCCGGAAAGAAAUCCUUGGCUCUAAUACAGUCGGGGGAUGACGGUACCGGAAGAAUAAGCACCGGCUAACUACGUGCCAGCAGCCGCGGUAAUACGUAGGGUGCAAGCGUUAAUCGGAAUUACUGGGCGUAAAGCGUGCGCAGGCGGUUUGCUAAGACCGAUGUGAAAUCCCCGGGCUCAACCUGGGAACUGCAUUGGUGACUGGCAGGCUAGAGUAUGGCAGAGGGGGGUAGAAUUCCACGUGUAGCAGUGAAUGCGUAGAGAUGUGGAGGAAUACCGAUGGCGAAGGCAGCCCCCUGGGCCAAUACUGACGCUCAUGCACGAAAGCGUGGGGAGCAAACAGGAUUAGAUACCCUGGUAGUCCACGCCCUAAACGAUGUCAACUAGUUGUUGGGGAUUCAUUUCCUUAGUAACGUAGCUAACGCGUGAAGUUGACCGCCUGGGGAGUACGGUCGCAAGAUUAAAACUCAAAGGAAUUGACGGGGUCAUAGCUGUUUCCU
rnacentral:rRNA from 1 species